UUUUAAAUUGCUGUAGUAUUUUGACUAUACAAAGGUAUUGAAAUAAGACUUUAAUUGAGUGCUAAGAGAAUGGAAUUACAGGAAAAAUCUUUUUUAAACUUAACAAUUAAAGUUAUUUUUACUUGUGAAGAAGCAGUAAUAAAAAUUAAGGACAAGAAGACCCUAAGAAUUUUUCGAUACAUAUUUCAAUAAAGAAAAUAUGUUUCUUUAAUUGGGGCGAUUAAUUAAUAUUA
rnacentral:rRNA from 1 species